rnacentral:rRNA from 1 species
UACGUAGGGGGCAAGCGUUGUCCGGAAUUAUUGGGCGUAAAGCGCGCGCAGGCGGCGGUGUAAGUCUGAUGUUUAAGCCCAGGGCUCAACCCUGGCUCGCAUCGGAAACUGCACGGCUUGAGUGUAGGAGAGGAAAGUGGAAUUCCACGUGUAGCGGUGAAAUGCGUAGAGAUGUGGAGGAACACCAGUGGCGAAGGCGACUUUCUGGCCUAUAACUGACGCUGAGGCGCGAAAGCGUGGGGAGCAAACAGG